CAGACUCCUACGGGAGGCAGGCAGUGGGGAAUAUUGCACAAUGGGGGAAACCCUGAUGCAGCGACGCCGCGUGGAGGAAGAAGGUCUUCGGAUUGUAAACUCCUGUUGUUGGGGAAGAUAAUGACGGUACCCAACAAGGAAGUGACGGCUAACUACGUGC
rnacentral:rRNA from 1 species